GGCGGAUGUAGCCAAGUGGAUCAAGGCAGUGGAUUGUG
rnacentral:tRNA from 59 species